rnacentral:rRNA from 1 species
UACAGAGGGGGCAAGCGUUGUUCGGAAUUACUGGGCGUAAAGGGCGCGUAGGCGGCCUGCUAAGUCGAACGUGAAAUCCCCGGGCUCAACCCGGGAACUGCGUCCGAUACUGACAGGCUUGAAUCCGGGAGAGGGAUGUGGAAUUCCAGGUGUAGCGGUGAAAUGCGUAGAUAUUGGGAAGAACACCUGAGGCGAAGGCGGGUUGCUGGGCCGACACUGACGCUGAGACGCGAAAGCGUGGGGAGCGAACAGG